rnacentral:rRNA from 1 species
GACGAACGCUGGCGGCGUGCUUAACACAUGCAAGUCGAACGGAAAGGCCCUGCUUUUGUGGGGUGCUCGAGUGGCGAACGGGUGAGUAACAAGUGAGUAACCUGCCUCUGACUUUGGGAUAACUUCAGGAAACUGGGGCUAAUACCGGAUAGGAGCUCCUGCUGCUUGGUGGGGGUUGGAAAGUUACGGCGGUUGGGGAUGGACUCGCGGCUUAUCAGCUUGUUGGUGGGGUAGUGGCUUACCAAGGCUUUGACGUGUCGCCGGCCUGAGAGGGUGACCGGCCACAUUGGGACUGAGAUACGGCCCAGACUCCUACGGGAGGCAGCAGUGGGGAAUAUUGCACAAUGGGCGGAAGCCUGAUGCAGCAACGGCGCGUGCGGGAUGACGGCCUUCGGGUUGUAAACCGCUUUCGCCUGUGACGAAGCGUGAGUGACGGUAAUGGGUAAAGAAGCACCGGCUAACUACGUG